CAUGCCUUAAGUUUCAUACUUAAGGGAAAAGCUUAAGGUUCUUUAUGCAACCGGGCACAGAGGCUAUAUAAGCAGCGGUCCGCUCACAUCACGCGCACAGCCGGACUCCCUUUGACUGAGUGGACAUCGCUUGACGGAAGAGCUUUUCUCAGGUUGUCCUCCAAUUGUUGUAAGUGAUCAAUCUAGCCAUUCUGCAUCUUGGACUUGCCAUAUUCAACACACUGUAGCUGCUGCACCCCAAAUACUCCACAGCAUUGAGCAUCUAUGGCUUUAUUUAUCAAGAUCAUCUGAAAAGAGUGCAUCUGUGCCAUUUUGCUGGAUGGAGAACCAGAGACGUUUAUAAACAGAUGGCAUGGUGGAAGAAGCAAGCAGGCCCUACAACAAUAACAACAACAACAACAACAACAAAAAUCUUUCUGAGGUAUGCUACAAAUGUUGUUA